GGAGUGUGAGGUAAUAUACUAGUACUGCAACUUUUCCCUCACAGCUGUGUGAGCAUGUUUAAAUUUAUGACUGAUUCAUUUAAAAUUUUGAAUAUUUAAUUUUAUGUUGUUAUUUUAUACUGCAUUAUCAUUCUACUUCAUUUGGUAGAAUCUUUAUAAUUUGUUAUUUUGAAUCAUGGAGUAUAUCUUCUUAGUUAAUUAUUGAAAUCUAGGCAGUUUGGUGUAGCGUCCGGGCGGGAGUCCGACACGGACGAAAUGUAAAAUGACCCCACGUGCAGUGUAUUUAUAAAUACACAGUGCAAACGGUAAAGUACUGUAUAGAAGUGAAACGAUAAACACGGGACUAGGAGACAGUGUAUUUUCACAAAGGUGAAAAGUGAAACUCGAAUCUGUGAGUAGGAUUCGAUCACGGAGCUCUGACGAAAUACCGGACUGGAACACGGGACUGGGACUGGAGAACAAUUGGCAGGAGUAGGCAGGAGUAGACAGGAUGGGCACUCGGACCGGAACACAAACAAACGGAACACAACUUGGGAAACAGGGGCAGUAGUGAGCAUCCUGUUUAGAGGCACUGCCGUCGAGCUCAAAGGACCCAGGUUUAAAACUUACCUCCUGCUGCAGUACUCUAGAGCAUGGAAGCAAAUUUGAUCCUUGUGGUGUCUGAUCUCUCGAGGUGGUCAUGUGAAGAAACAAAGGUGAGAUCUGUCCGUAGCUGUUUAAAGCUCGUCUCAUGCUAAACCUUUACUGGUAAUUCAAUAUUGUUUUAAGUCUCUCUUCUUCUGCCCCCUGUUUCACAUUCACCAACACACACAUAAACGCACACAAAAAACUCAUUUAGAUGUAUUGAACACAGAAAAAAAGUUAAAAGUUAAAAAACCUCCAGUUGUGGGUUUAUCAAUGUAGACAUUGGUAUAAACACCCAUGCGAUACAGCGACAGCACAAAGGUCACUGGCAGUGAAAUGUUGAAUUACCAAUAAAAAUUUCUAAAAGCACACAAUGUUUUUAAAUGAUGAAAGAAUUUCUUAUUGAUUUUCUGAAAUCACUUGCUUCCCGCAAGAGUUUAUUACUUUAUGACUUUACUACAGCUUUCCUACAGCUGCUGUUACUCAGCAUUGCUCUGAAGAACUUCCCUGUUGAAGUUCACACAGUCCCGCUGUCACUUGCGGAGAUCAGUUAUGUGCAGCGUCGCUUACAGUCCUCAUUGACAGCGCAGUGUAACAUUCACUCUUCUCAAGUGUUUUGCUCGUUUGUUCUUCGCCUACCAGGGCAGUCCGCAGCUGGUCCACGAUGGACUUCAUAGGGCUGCUCCAUGUGCCAUAAGAUCAGAAGAGCAGCGUGCGACUCUCCCUGAUGCACGGGACGUAACAAUGAAUGAAGCCACAGGAUAGGGUGAGGGACAGGAGCUCUGGUAUUAACAGGCCAUGGGAGGUGCUGCAUUUCACUGCUCCAGGUUCACCUCUGACACCCUGAAGAGUGUAAGCACCCUGUAAGGACACCCCAAAUGACUCAGUGCCCCCUGUUGCUCAAAUGUUAAAGUACACAAAUGUCUGAGGGAAAACACACAUAGCACUCAACUUGAAGGUUUCAUAUCACACGCUAUAAUGUAAAACAGUGGAUACGUUUGCUGUAUAUGAAAGCUCUCAAAACUGAACCUGUACGUUGUGUUUUGAACUAAUGUACACACUGUAACAUCAGCUCAAGUCAAAACCUUCCAGAGAUGUCCACAAACACAGGCCAGCUGACAGAGACGCUAUCACAUGGAGAAUUUCACAUGGUGUUUGCUUACUUCACAGCUGACAGGACUGUGAAACAUCCAUAAAGCAGUAAAGUCCAGGUCAGUUUUCAUUUGGCUUAGAACAAAACAGCAACUGAGUCACGAGACAGACACAGCUGAGUGUUUUCCCACAUGUUUCCUUUGCUGGGCCCCCAAGGUCAGUGUAAUCUGUGGAAUUUACCCUUUACGAGGCAAACAUGACUUCAAAAGAUGGAUCUUUGUGAUAUAAUCAGCUUCGUCACCUUGUUUUAUAGCCCCAUAACUCCCCUGACCACAGCUCCCUGGAUUCUGAAACCAUGUCUCAGACGAAUGAGGAAGGAUACGGAUGAAGAUGCUCUUCUACGUAACUGUGACCCCUCACAUCCAGGCCACUUCCUCUUCGAACC